rnacentral:rRNA from 1 species
AUAUGAACCGUUAUAACCGGCGAUUUCCGAAUGGGGAAACCCAGUGUGUUUCGACACACUAUCAUUAACUGAAUCCAUAGGUUAAUGAGGCGAACCGGGGGAACUGAAACAUCUAAGUACCCCGAGGAAAAGAAAUCAACCGAGAUUCCCCCAGUAGCGGCGAGCGAACGGGGAGGAGCCCAGAGCCUGAAUCAGUGUGUGUGUUAGUGGAAGCGUCUGGAAAGGCGCGCGAUACAGGGUGACAGCCCCGUACACAAAAAUGCACAUGCUGUGAGCUCGAUGAGUAGGGCGGGACACGUGGUAUCCUGUCUGAAUAUGGGGGGACCAUCCUCCAAGGCUAAAUACUCCUGACUGACCGAUAGUGAACCAGUACCGUGAGGGAAAGGCGAAAAGAACCCCGGCGAGGGGAGUGAAAAAGAACCUGAAACCGUGUACGUACAAGCAGUGGGAGCACAGAGCAAUCUGUGUGACUGCGUACCUUUUGUAUAAUGGGUCAGCGACUUAUAUUCUGUAGCAAGGUUAACCGAAUAGGGGAGCCGAAGGGAAACCGAGUCUUAACUGGGCGUUAAGUUGCAGGGUAUAGACCCGAAACCCGGUGAUCUAGCCAUGGGCAGGUUGAAGGUUGGGUAACACUAACUGGAGGACCGAACCGACUAAUGUUGAAAAAUUAGCGGAUGACUUGUGGCUGGGGGUGAAAGGCCAAUCAAACCGGGAGAUAGCUGGUUCUCCCCGAAAGCUAUUUAGGUAGCGCCUCGUGAAUUCAUCUCCGGGGGUAGAGCACUGUUUCGGCAAGGGGGUCAUCCCGACUUACCAACCCGAUGCAAACUGCGAAUACCGGAGAAUGUUAUCACGGGAGACACACGGCGGGUGCUAACGUCCGUCGUGAAGAGGGAAACAACCCAGACCGCCAGCUAAGGUCCCAAAGUCAUGGUUAAGUGGGAAACGAUGUGGGAAGGCCCAGACAGCCAGGAUGUUGGCUUAGAAGCAGCCAUCAUUUAAAGAAAGCGUAAUAGCUCACUGGUCGAGUCGGCCUGCGCGGAAGAUGUAACGGGGCUAAACCAUGCACCGAAGCUGCGGCAGCGACACUGUGUGUUGUUGGGUAGGGGAGCGUUCUGUAAGCCUGUGAAGGUGUGCUGUGAGGCAUGCUGGAGGUAUCAGAAGUGCGAAUGCUGACAUAAGUAACGAUAAAGCGGGUGAAAAGCCCGCUCGCCGGAAGACCAAGGGUUCCUGUCCAACGUUAAUCGGGGCAGGGUGAGUCGACCCCUAAGGCGAGGCCGAAAGGCGUAGUCGAUGGGAAACAGGUUAAUAUUCCUGUACUUGGUGUUACUGCGAAGGGGGGACGGAGAAGGCUAUGUUGGCCGGGCGACGGUUGUCCCGGUUUAAGCGUGUAGGCUGGUUUUCCAGGCAAAUCCGGAAAAUCAAGGCUGAGGCGUGAUGACGAGGCACUACGGUGCUGAAGCAACAAAUGCCCUGCUUCCAGGAAAAGCCUCUAAGCAUCAGGUAACAUCAAAUCGUACCCCAAACCGACACAGGUGGUCAGGUAGAGAAUACCAAGGCGCUUGAGAGAACUCGGGUGAAGGAACUAGGCAAAAUGGUGCCGUAACUUCGGGAGAAGGCACGCUGAUAUGUAGGUGAAGUCCCUCGCGGAUGGAGCUGAAAUCAGUCGAAGAUACCAGCUGGCUGCAACUGUUUAUUAAAAACACAGCACUGUGCAAACACGAAAGUGGACGUAUACGGUGUGACGCCUGCCCGGUGCCGGAAGGUUAAUUGAUGGGGUCAGCGCAAGCGAAGCUCUUGAUCGAAGCCCCGGUAAACGGCGGCCGUAACUAUAACGGUCCUAAGGUAGCGAAAUUCCUUGUCGGGUAAGUUCCGACCUGCACGAAUGGCGUAAUGAUGGCCAGGCUGUCUCCACCCGAGACUCAGUGAAAUUGAACUCGCUGUGAAGAUGCAGUGUACCCGCGGCAAGACGGAAAGACCCCGUGAACCUUUACUAUAGCUUGACACUGAACAUUGAGCCUUGAUGUGUAGGAUAGGUGGGAGGCUUUGAAGUGUGGACGCCAGUCUGCAUGGAGCCGACCUUGAAAUACCACCCUUUAAUGUUUGAUGUUCUAACGUGGACCCGUGAUCCGGGUUGCGGACAGUGUCUGGUGGGUAGUUUGACUGGGGCGGUCUCCUCCUAAAGAGUAACGGAGGAGCACGAAGGUUGGCUAAUCCUGGUCGGACAUCAGGAGGUUAGUGCAAUGGCAUAAGCCAGCUUGACUGCGAGCGUGACGGCGCGAGCAGGUGCGAAAGCAGGUCAUAGUGAUCCGGUGGUUCUGAAUGGAAGGGCCAUCGCUCAACGGAUAAAAGGUACUCCGGGGAUAACAGGCUGAUACCGCCCAAGAGUUCAUAUCGACGGCGGUGUUUGGCACCUCGAUGUCGGCUCAUCACAUCCUGGGGCUGAAGUAGGUCCCAAGGGUAUGGCUGUUCGCCAUUUAAAGUGGUACGCGAGCUGGGUUUAGAACGUCGUGAGACAGUUCGGUCCCUAUCUGCCGUGGGCGCUGGAGAACUGAGGGGGGCUGCUCCUAGUACGAGAGGACCGGAGUGGACGCAUCACUGGUGUUCGGGUUGUCAUGCCAAUGGCACUGCCCGGUAGCUAAAUGCGGAAGAGAUAAGUGCUGAAAGCAUCUAAGCACGAAACUUGCCCCGAGAUGAGUUCUCCCUGACCCUUUAAGGGUCCUGAAGGAACGUUGAAGACGACGACGUUGAUAGGCCGGGUGUGUAAGCGCAGCGAUGCGUUGAGCUAACCGGUACUAAUGAACCGUGAGGCUUAACCUUACAACGCCGAAGGUGUUU